AUUCGCAUCUGAGGCUUUGCUUCUUGCAAAUCUAAAUGGGUUAUGACAUUUAUGUUAUGUCGGUCCUUGAGAUUUGAAUAGAAGUUGGGGUAAUGCCUAUCAGGUGUUUGUAGAAAUGUCUUGUUGGAACUGUUGAAAUGUCUAGUAGGUGUUUGUAGAAAUGUCUAAGUGGAGCACUUGAAAUUGGGUUGGUUUUCACUAUUGAAACGGCUCUGUUUUUCGCUCAAAGUCACACUGUUUUGAGUAUGUUAAUCAUUCUACACAUGAUGGUAUGAAUUGACGGUGGUUUUAAAGCUACCUAGUGUUUCUUCGUUCUUGAAUUUGAUAGGUUUAUUUCUAUGAUAAAAACUAAGACUGGUACAUAAUCGUUGAUAUGGUUAGUCGUGUUGUAUUGAUGUCUUCAAAUUUAACAAUAAGGUCAGUAACUUGAAUUUAGCUUUUGUUCCUUGUAUUUUUCUUUCUCGUGUCACUUAUGAUUGCUUUUAUAAUUACCUGCACACUAACAUCUGAGCUAUAACAUGAGUUUAAUGUGUCAUUUUUAGUAGGUUAUAUGGGAUUCAAUUGCACUCUUACGCAUAGCAGCCUCAUUUCCUGGGGUUGAAUCUUCUUGAGUAAUUGAACUACUGCUGCCAUCCUUUUUGGACAAUUUUGAUCCCUGGGCAGCCGCUGCUAAGUUUUCAUCAAGUUGAGAUGCAAGAGAAUUUGGUAAAAUGAGUUGCAGUUAAAGGCAUCAAGAUUUCGGAGACUUUGGACUAACAUGAUUAAUUGCUUAUGGGGGAUGCUGGUGUUCUUGAAGCUCUGUUUAGAACUUAGCUAAAAUUGUAUCCAAGUAUAUUUUGUACUUGAUGUAUUUGUAUUCUUUUAUAACAAGUAAUUCAUGGAUUUGUAUUCAACAGUUGAUUUUUAUAUAUAAAGCAUAUUGUUAUCAAUUAAGUGUUGUUGCCUAGGACAAU